UACGAAGGGUGCAAACGUUAUUCGGAUUAAUUGGGCGUAAAGGGUGCGUAGGCGGCAUAUUAAGUCAACUGUUAAAUUCUCCGGCCUAACCGGAGGUCAGCAGUAGAUACUGGUGUGCUAGAGGGCGGAAGAGAGAAGUGGAAUUCUUGGAGUAGCGGUAAAAUGUGUAGAUCUCAAGAGGAACACCGAUGGCGAAGGCAGCUUCUUGGUCCGUUUCUGACGCUGAUGCACGAAAGCGUGGGGAGCAAACAGG
rnacentral:rRNA from 1 species